CAGUAGCCGCGGGAAUACGUAGGUGGCAAGCGUUGUCCGGAAUUAUUGGGCGUAAAGCACGCGCAGGCGGAUAGGUCAGUCUGUCUUAAAAGUUCGGGGCUUAACCCCGUGAUGGGAUGGAAACUGCCAAUCUAGAGUAUCGGAGAGGAAAGUGGAAUUCCUAGUGUAGCGGUGAAAUGCGUAGAUAUUAGGAAGAACACCAGUGGCGAAGGCGACUUUUUGGACGAAAACUGACGCUGAGGCGCGAAAGCCAGGGGAGCGAACGGGAUUAGAUACCCCCGUAGUCCCUGUCUCUUAUACC
rnacentral:rRNA from 1 species